rnacentral:rRNA from 1 species
CAGCAGCCGCGGUAAUACGAAGGGUGCAAGCGUUAAUCGGAAUUACUGGGCGUAAAGCGUGCGUAGGCGGUGAGUUAAGUCUGCUGUGAAAUCCCCGGGCUCAACCUGGGAAUGGCAGUGGAUACUGGCUCGCUAGAGUGUGUCCGAGGAUGGUGGAAUUCCCGGUGUAGCGGUGAAAUGCGUAGAGAUCGGGAGGAACAUCAGUGGCGAAGGCGGCCAUCUGGGACAACACUGACGCUGAGGCACGAAAGCGUGGGGAGCAAACAGGAUUAGAUACCCCAGUAGUCCCUGUCUAUUAUAC